rnacentral:rRNA from 1 species
UCCUGGCUUAGGAUGAACGCUGGCGGCGUGCCUAACACAUGCAAGUCGAACGAGAUCCAUUAAUUGAAGCUUCGGCAGAUUUAGGAGAUCGAGUGGCGGACGGGUGAGUAACGCGUGGGUAACCUGCCUUACAGAGGGGGAUAACAGAGAGAAAUUUCUGCUAAUACCGCAUAAGCACACAGUACCGCAUGGUACAGGGUGAAAAGAUUUAUCACUGUAAGAUGGACCCGCGUCUGAUUAGCCAGUUGGCAGGGUAAACGGCCUACCAAAGCGACGAUCAGUAGCCGACCUGAGAGGGUGAUCGGCCACAUUGGGACUGAGACACGGCCCAAACUCCUACGGGAGGCAGCAGUGGGGGAUAUUGCACAAUGGAGGAAACUCUGAUGCAGCCGACGCCGCGUGAGUGAAGAAGUAUUUCGGUAUGUAAAGCUCUAUCAGCAGGGAAGAUAAUGACAGUACCUGACUAAGAAGCCCCGGCUAACUACGUGCCAGCCGCUGC